UGAGGACGCUCCCGGCUGCGAGCCCGCCGGGAUCAGCUGGGCGCUUGCCAGUAGGGGCGAGUCUAAGGGCCCCUCCCCCGCGCCCUGCGCCCACCUCUGGCCCUGAGGGUCGAGUGGGGAGCCCCACGACGCUCUUACAGCCUUCCAGAUGCACGGGCUGGGAAACUGGGGCUCAGAGAGGUCAAGUGGCUUGCCCAAGGUCACCCAGCGAGUGAUGUGGGCAGAAGGUACCAGGGCCGGGCUGGGAAGGGCGCCCGAGUUCGCCCCAGCCGCGCUCUGCGGAAAGGCAGGGGGGCCGCCCGCCCUGCUCCCUGAAGCUCCCUGGACUUCUCUAAGUUACGUCGCGUUGCUGUCCCCUCCAUUUACAAGAGAUCUAAACUUGCAAGAGGCAGAAAAAUGACACAGUUAAAAGCAAGGCCUCUGGGGUUCAACAGCCCAGAUUUGGAAUCGUGGCUCUGCUGCUCACUCGCUGAGACCUUGAGCCAGUUUCCUCAUCUCGGGAUCCUCAUCUGUCAAGUGGCAAUGACAACCAAACCGAUUUCCUAAGAAGUUCACAAGGAUUAAAUGUGUUAACUCUUAAUGAAAUACCCAAAACAGCAUUCCACAUAUCCUAAAUGCUGAGCUAAUCUUUGCUUUGCGUUUUUCCCUGCUGCAGGACCAUCCUCUGGGCCUUCUGGGCAUCCUGAGCCUCCCUCGCCUUCCCUUCAGCUGUAGCUCCCAGGGACACUGGGCAAACACCCAUCUGUGGAAUCCUCGCUGCCGGAAACAGUGCUUCCCCACGGGCCGACUAAGUGAAGGACCUGGGGCCCAGAGUCAGGCUUGUAGGCUGCUUGUGGCUGCUUUUCUCAGUCCCGGGUCUGUGACUGGCCUCUCAUCCCCAGAAACAAAAGGGCACUUCCCAAACCACCCUCACCCAGAAGGGAAGGAGUACGGAUGGCUAUAUCCCUGGCUUCUACCCGCCUCGAUAUGCCACUUGGUUAAUUAACCUGGAGGCUGAGCUUCUCAGUCCCCACCCCCAAAACCUGAGUUCUGCCAGUAGUACUGUGGGUCAACAGGAGGGACUUAUGGGACAAUGUCUUUUCCUUUUACAACUGAAGGGAAGCACACACUUCUGGCUUAUACUCCUGUGCCACAGGACUUACAUUCAAGGGUGGGAUUCCCUAACAGCUGCUUGUAAAGGGGGAAAGAGGGAUGGAGAGUAUCUGGGAUGAGCACAGAAGAGGAGAAGGGGGGCCUGGAUGCCCAGAGGCUUCAUCGGAACAUUUAGACGCUCUCUAUUCUAACAGCUCUUCUCCUUCUGUGUCUUCCAUUCAGACCAUCUGCCCCAGUGACAGUCCAGACCUUGAAGACUCACUGUUUUUAUUAAGCACCGAUGAAGGGUCAGCCCUGUGUUUACAACUUUGCAUUAGCUAUAGUUCUCUCAACACCCUAUAGGGAAAAUUCUAUUUAUCAUCACUUACAAAGAAGGAAACUGAGGCCCGGAGCAGUUUAAUACCACCCUGCGUAAGGUUCCACAGCUGUCAGCGGGGGAUCCCAGGCCAGCCUGACUCUCUGACCCUUCUUUCUCUCCCUUCCUGGUUCUGCCUUCCCAGGUAGCAGUCUCGGACACUCCUGACUGGCUCUCUGUCCCGCCCCGAUCUGAGCUGGCAGAAUCAGUCUACCAGCAGCUGGGGAGGAGGGCUAUGCACUGAGAAACUGACAGCAAGGGUACUGAAUCUUCUGCUCCAGACCCUCCUUCUCCGAGAAGCUUCCAAGAGGGCAGGUGCCAAGCACUGGGAGUGUUCAUGCAGGGUCCUCCAGGGAGGAGGGAGAUGAAUGUUUCUGUGAGAUGCUCAGGAAAUUGUCCCCACCCACCAACCUGGCUGAGCUAUUGGCUGUGGAGCACCUCCAUGCCAUGCUGCAUACUCUGCUGAUCUUCAUGAGAUCACCAUCCUGCAGGCAUUAACACUCAGAUACUUUUGAAAAGGAGAAAUCAGGUCUUGGGAAAGGUGGUGAUUUUCCCGCAAGCAGCUGCAGAUGGUACUCACACUCAGGUCUUUCAGCUUCCAGGUCAAAAUACUGGUGUAUUUUCUGUAGAAUACACCAGUACUCACUGAGCACAUACUAUGUGCAGAGACUGCUCUGGGUCCAGGGGUCAUAGCCAUGGGCAGGAUGGACUUCUCCAAAGGCCCUUAAGGCCAAGGCUCUUGGGGCUGCUCACUGCAUCUGCAGAGUUUGUGGUUACACUGACCAGAUGCUCGGUCUAGACUGGAAGCCCCAUGCUGCAAUAAAGAACUGUGGUUGCUCUUUCUUUUCACGUCUAGGUCUGGGACUAGCCUCUCAGCCCCAAGACAGAAGGGUACUUCCCAGACUCACUUCACCCAGUGACACUGGGCCAUCUCAGAAAACACAGCAAGUCCCUGCAGCCCCAGCUCCCUGCCAUGGCACUGUCUGCCAGAAUCCACACCUGCCUCCUCUUUCCCCACCUGCUGACUCCUGGUGAGAGACAGAUGUGUCCCUGACCUUUAUGACACUAACGGCAGUAAGUCAGACAGCCACAGCAACUUAAUGUCAUCAGACGAGACACAAUGUAGGGAGUGUGUCUAUGAGGAAGUUUUCAUAUUUGCACAGAACUGCUGCUCACACUACCAGCUUCCUCUUCCUCUUGUUUAAGAGUGGUGAAUCCUAUCCCAGUUACUCCAAAACUCUGCAGUGCCAUACUGUGAAGUCCUAAUCUGACUGCACCGAAGGCCAGAGAAACCUCAGCUUGGCCCCCAGUUGUCCUGCUUACUGUCCUCCUCACAGGAUCAUUCCGAGGUUGAAACUGAAGCAUUAAGCUCACGCAGGUAUCAUGUGCAUUUUAAAGCUUUUCCACUCUCUGUUGUCUCUACUCUACCAGCAUUGUUUGUGUUCCUGUUCACGCGUAACACAGCUGAUCCUGGUCAUCUGUGGACCCCUUUGCCUUCACACUGUCCUCAGAGCCUGCUCAGCUGCCCAACCCCAGUGCCUGGUCCAGCGGUCAGUUCACAGCAAGCACUCAACGUUCAUUCUGGAUGCAUGUCUUCUGAAAUGCAGUCCUGGAACAGCACUGCUACCCAGCCACCUGAGCUCAAUGCGUUUGUCAUGUAAGACAGGCACCAAAAGCUGGCACAAACUUACCUAGGAAUCAGUCAUUUAUGUGUCUCACACACACACACACACACACACACACCACCCAAUGUGAGGGUGGAUGGAAUCAGACCUUCAAUCCCAGUCACUCACAUACAUGAAGACACCUAUCCUUCUGUCUCUGUACCCAUCUGUCCUACAAAUCUAUACCCUCCUCUCAGUAUUUGGUAGAUGGAAACUUCAGUUUCUCUCGCCAGAUCUCUUCUUUGACGAAAGAAUCCAGUCCUCCUCGAUGUCUUUCUGCAGCUUAAAAA